GCUCAAAAUGUGGCGACAAAUGUGUCCUACUUUGCCCUGAAUUCUAAGGAUGGUCCGAUGUAUCCUUCAUGUCCUACUAUAUCCCAGGAUUCAUUGCGGGUCAUAGAGGAGAUUUGUUUCUGAUAAGGAUGGUGGUCGAAGCGGGAGAGGAAAACACUUUCAAAUGACAAUUCUGGAGAAGAUGGGCCUGCAGGGGAAAGUCACCCCCUUGCAGGCCAGAAGACAUGAGAUAACUUUAAAGAAUACAAAGAUUGCAAGUAUCCAGGCUCAGGAGAGGGGGUCAGUGGGAAGCCCACUGCUGCUACUUGGCCCUGGUUUGCCCUCAUGGAUGAGGUGAUAGGACAGAGGCCUUCCAUUAAGCCUCUUGUCCAAAUGUCCUCUCUCCCUGAGGACACUCCAGGGCCAAGCACAACAGUGGGUGACCAAAACGACAGUGAUGACGAAGCGGCUCAGCCACCUACGACAGGGAGA